AUUGAACGCUGGCGGCAGGCUUAACACAUGCAAGUCGAGCGGGGAAAGGUAGCUUGCUCCCUGACCUAGCGGCGGACGGGUGAGUAAUGCUUAGGAAUCUGCCUAUUAGUGGGGGACAACAUCUCGAAAGGGAUGCUAAUACCGCAUACGUCCUACGGGAGAAAGCAGGGGACCUUCGGGCCUUGCGCUAAUAGAUGAGCCUAAGUCGGAUUAGCUAGUUGGUGGGGUAAAGGCCUACCAAGGCGACGAUCUGUAGCGGGUCUGAGAGGAUGAUCCGCCACACUGGGACUGAGACACGGCCCAGACUCCUACGGGAGGAAGCAGUGGGGAAUAUUGGACAAUGGGGGGAACCCUGAUCCAGCCAUGCCGCGUGUGUGAAGAAGGCCUUUUUGUUGUAAAGCACUUUAAGCGAGGAGGAGGCUACCGAGAUUAAUACUCUUGGAUAGCGGACGUUACUCGCAGAAUAAGCACCGGCUAACUCUGUG
rnacentral:rRNA from 1 species